rnacentral:rRNA from 1 species
UACAGGGGGGGGCAAGCGUUGUUCGGAAUUACUGGGCGUAAAGGGCCAGUAGGCGGCCAACUAAGUCCGACGUGAAAUCCCCAGGCUUAACCUGGGAACUGCGUCGGAUACUGGAUGGCUUGAAUUCGGGAGAGGGAUGCAGAAUUCCAGGUGUAGCGGUGAAAUGCGUAGAUAUCUGGAGGAAUACCGGUGGCGAAGGCGGCAUCCUGGACCGACAUUGACGCUGAACGGCGAAAGCCAGGGGAGCAAACGGGG